CACGGCUGUCCUGUCAAUGUGUCAAUGCUAUCAAGCACUGUGAUGUUUACGAAAAUGAGAAUGUUUAUAAAAGACCUUCAAUAUAACAGAAAAGGGAAAUCGCUUCAGAUGCGACCCAAUGAAAAUGAGGUAAGGAGUCCCAAUAAUUGGCAUAUCUCAACAGAGUACUAAAUUGGUUUCUGACCGUCAACAUUAUUCCAACCUGGACAGUGUCAUUUUACAGAUUUUCGGUAUCCCAUCAAGUAAAUAUCGAUACAAGAGUUCAAUAACUGGAUUUGAAAUACAGGACAACAUAAUGACGACUCCUAAAAUCAGUAGCCAGUGAUUUGUACUAGCGAAAUGAGUGAAACCAUGUCCAGUAAUACUUGGCCAUCCCAUACAAUAAUAGCCUGUCUUUGGGAUGGAAAUCCAGUAAAAACCGAGAUUGAAGGGUAGAGUCUACGAUGGAGUCAGGCGUUUUAUCGUAUCGAAACUGUGUAAAUAGAACUUUUUCUUGAGAUAUUGCAAUAAUAAAGAAUUACAGCGUUUA